AUGUGCUGGGUUGUGCAGGGUUGUAUUGAAUUAAAUUAGUGCUUUUGUCCUACUGAGAGUAGGAUAGUGUUGGCCAAAAAAGGUAACAAUUCAAAAGCCUUCUUCAAGAAAAAAAUUACAAUUUGCUCUAAUUUACAUUUAGCAGUUUCCUUAUUGUAUUCAACUCCAAUCGAACGGUGCUUCUAAAUCACGGAUGAAAACCCCUUUAAUGAAAAAGAACUCUCCCGCUCUGCACACGCAACGCGACUUAAUCGUUUGAUAAAGUCGAAACCGGCACAGUACGGCACGCAAAAGAUGCCUGCAGUGUUGGACAGUGACGUCACUGAUUGAGUGUUUAAUGGAACGGGUUUGAUAGCAACGUUUCGAACGGUUUACUGAUAACGGCAACUGAGGCAAAAUCAUAGACAACAAAAAAAGUAGAGAAAAUUUUACACGAGCCUUUUCUGUGCGGAAAUCGAUGUAUUCUUUUAUCUGAACGAACAUUUUGUACAAAACGUGUCGUAAGCCUAUUUCUGGACGAUCCAUCGGUUUCGAUGGUAAGUUCAAGCUUGAGAGAGUCUUAUCUGGUCGCAGAAGACGCAUCAAAAUUUCGCUUCGAAUGUUAUUUUACAUCGAGUUGAAUUAGGAAGAUUUUAUUCUUAUCUUUCAGUUUGAGACAUUUUCCAGUCUUAGGGUUUUGCUUCACGUCAAACGUGUUUUUCGUAGUCCACUGUACGAUCAACGCACGAUGUCGAUCGUCCGAGAGCCGUCAUUUAAAAAAGGGCUUCUACCCUUUCCAACACAAAUUUCAACCCCCACCGGUUCAACACCUUUACCAGCUUUAUGCAACCUUCUUCUCUACCUUUCCUCUUCUCCGGCCCUUUCCACCCUUAAAGCCCUAUAAUAAAGGGCUCCAAAAAUUGGCGGCCUUCAUGCUCGUGGUGCACGUUGUUGGUCAGGGUUAAAUCGUUUCCCAGAAAAACCGACCCGAAAUGGAUCGUGCUGCGUGUUGUUUUUUGUUCGACCAUCACGCUCCCCACCGAAAACCUGUUUUACUGAAACUGCACCAUGUCUUCUUAUGUGGAGCAGCCCGGGCAUUGUUUUGAUUCGGUUGUUGGUUGUUGAUAUCGUCAACCAACUUAGCCCUCAAAAUGUUGAACCAUGCAUGAGAAGACACCGUGAGCAUCGGUGAUGAACGCUGCCCGGGCACCUUGGGGCUUACCUGUUGAUGUGGACUCACUCGCGUCGGGCGGAACUAGUUUCGUUCAGUUUGAGCCGGGCACAUCCAAAGGCUACCGGUGGGAACUCUCGCUGCAUCGCGCCAGUGCAGAUGGAGGCUUGUUACGUUGGAGGGUUCGGUUGAUCGGGUGUGCCUAUAUUGGAUGUAAUUAUCGACGUCUUCAAUGUCUGAGGGUGUAAGAUGCGAAAAGAUUACGCUCGAAGUGAGGCGGCUGAUAUCACGAUACGAUGUAUGAUGGAAGUGGUAAAUGGUGGGUUGUAUUUUUAGUACCGAGGUCUAGAAUGUCCAUCAGCUUGCGAUUUGCUUCGUCACCAUCUGUUUGGUUCGCAUACAUUAAAACGACUGCCAAACAGUUUGACAGUAGUACAUCUUCGUAGCGGUAAUGUUGAAAAAUUUGCUGUUGAGUUUAUUUUAGCUCUCAUCGCUCUCCAGGUUCAUCAUCCUUGAGUCCCAUAUUUCCGUCAUCGCGUGGGCGUAGGAGACAUCAAAACCAGAGCUCGAGCGAAUUACUACUCGGAGGGUAAUUAAACUUGCAAGACAGGGAUCGUACACCACGGCUUGUUUAUGAUACGAGCGAACGAUAUUGGUCAAGGAAAUGACCAAAGCUUGUGAAUGUUGUAUGUGUUAGAGUCGGUUACAUUGUCUUUAAAUAUCGCAAGCAUCUGAUUUGUACAUUGGAAAAGUGAAAAGUAAUCUGCUUUACAUACUAGUGCCACGCUACUCAUGAGCGCAGUAGUAAGUCUUCAGCUCUGCCAACGGCUAAACCGGACACGCACCGCACACAACACCUCGAGAUCGGCUUAAUGAAGCACGCAUGCGGACAAGCAUGAAUGGGAUAUAACCGGAUUGUACCAGCACAAUCUAUAGCAAUGCUGCGAAAAGCGCAAAAGGAUGGCCGCUGGCUCGGUACGUGAGGCGGUGUUUGCAUCCCACCAGAGCUGUUUGCUGUCCGUGCCGCAUCGAUCUCUACACCGUACCUCGCCGUACGGAGCACGAUGAAAGAUACCAGAACUACUGAACGGCGACUGUAUGCUAUACCGAUUUGUCGCUCAACCCUUUUUGUGGGUUUGAGUUUUUUUUUCCUCCAACAACACGUUUGGUGGGUGAAGAGAUUAAAUUUUAGAUGAAGAAAAGCUAAAUAAAUGUCUACCUAUCUUCGGUAA